rnacentral:lncRNA from 1 species
GGAAGGCCCGAAAAAGGACCACCAUUUAAUGAACCAACUUGGAAUCUGGGUACUUUUGAAAAUUUGAGCACAAAUUUUUAUAAAACAAGAGUGCUUAUGAUCAUCAUUUUCAUAAAAUAAAGUCUUUGAAAAUGCCUCUACAAAAUCCCAGUAAUUAUAAUUAAUUGACAUCUUUUGAAUUGGAUGUAUAUACUGGCAAUCUUUUA